GAUGAACGCUGGCGGCGUGCCUAAUACAUGCAAGUCGAGCGAACAGACGAGGAGCUUGCUCCUCUGACGUUAGCGGCGGACGGGUGAGUAACACGUGGAUAACCUACCUAUAAGACUGGGAUAACUUCGGGAAACCGGAGCUAAUACCGGAUAAUAUAUUGAACCGCAUGGUUCAAUAGUGAAAGACGGUUUUGCUGUCACUUAUAGAUGGAUCCGCGCCGCAUUAGCUAGUUGGUAAGGUAACGGCUUACCAAGGCAACGAUGCGUAGCCGACCUGAGAGGGUGAUCGGCCACACUGGAACUGGAACACGGUCCAGACUCCUACGGGAGGCAGAAGUAGGGAAUCUUCCGCAAUGGGCGAAAGCCUGACGGAGCAACGCCGCGUGAGUGAUGAAGGUCUUCGGAUCGUAAAACUCUGUUAUUAGGGAAGAACAAAUGUGUAAGUAACUAUGCACGUCUUGACGGUACCUAAUCAGAAAGCCACGGCUAACUACGUG
rnacentral:rRNA from 1 species